rnacentral:tRNA from 1 species
GGCUCCAUAGCUCAGGGUCAGAGCACUGGUCUUGUAAACCAGGGGUCGUGAGUUCAAGUCUCACUGGGGCCU